rnacentral:rRNA from 1 species
GACGAACCGAGCGAACGUUGUUCGGAAUCACUGGGCUUAAAGGGCGCGUAGGCGGGCCGCCGCGUCCGGGGUGAAAUCCCACGGCUCAACCGUGGAACGGCCUCGGAUACGGGCGGCCUCGAGGGGGGUAGGGGCAUGCGGAACUGUGAGUGGAGCGGUGAAAUGCGUUGAUAUCAGGAGGAACACCGGUGGCGAAGGCGGGUCUCUGGGCCGAUACUGACGCUGAGGAGCGAAAGCGUGGGGAGCGAACAGG